rnacentral:rRNA from 1 species
UACGUAGGGUGCAAGCGUUAAUCGGAAUUACUGGGCGUAAAGCGUGCGCAGGCGGUCUUGCAAGUCAGUUGUUAAAUCCCUGGGCUUAACCUGGGAACUGCAUUUGUGACUGCAAGGCUGGAGUGCGGCAGAGGGGGAUGGAAUUCCGCGUGUAGCAGUGAAAUGCGUAGAUAUCGUCAAGAACACCGAUAGCGAAGGCAGCUUACUAAGCUGUAACUGACGCUGAGGCACGAAAGUGUGGGGAUCAAACAGG